rnacentral:rRNA from 1 species
CCUACGGGUGGCAGCAGUGAGGAAUAUUGGUCAAUGGGCGUGAGCCUGAACCAGCCAAGUCGCGUGAGGGAUGAAGGUUCUAUGGAUCGUAAACCUCUUUUAUCAGGGAAUAAAGUGUGGGACGUGUCCUGUUUUGUAUGUACCUUAUGAAUAAGGAUCGGCUAACUCCGUGCCAGCAGCCGCGGUAAUACGGAGGAUCCGAGCGUUAUCCGGAUUUAUUGGGUUUAAAGGGUGCGUAGGCGGCCUUUUAAGUCAGCGGUGAAAGUUUGUGGCUCAACCAUAGAAUUGCCGUUGAAACUGGGAGGCGUGAGUAGGCUUGAGGUAGGCGGAAUGCGUGGUGUAGCGGUGAAAUGCUUAGAUAUCACGCAGAACCCCGAUUGCGAAGGCAGCCUGCCAAGCCAUGACUGACGCUGAUGCACGAAAGCGUGGGGAUCAAACAGGAUUAGAUACCCGAGUAGUC